rnacentral:rRNA from 1 species
UACGGGAGGGUGCAAGCGUUAUCCGGAUUCACUGGGUUUAAAGGGUGCGUAGGCGGGCAGGUAAGUCAGUGGUGAAAUCUUCGAGCUUAACUCGGAAACUGCCGUUGAUACUAUCUGUCUUGAAUAUCGUGGAGGUGAGCGGAAUAUGUCAUGUAGCGGUGAAAUGCUUAGAUAUGACAUAGAACACCGAUUGCGAAGGCAGCUCACUACACGAACAUUGACGCUGAGGCACGAAAGCGUGGGGAUCAAACAGG